rnacentral:rRNA from 1 species
UACAGAGGUCUCAAACGUUGUUCGGAUUCAUUGGGCGUAAAGGGUGCGUAGGUGGCGCCGUAAGUCAGGUGUGAAAUUUCGGAGCUCAACUCCGAAACUGCAUUUGAUACUGCGGUGCUUGAGGACUGGAGAGGAGACUGGAAUUCACGGUGUAGCAGUGAAAUGCGUAGAUAUCGUGAGGAAGACCAGUGGCGAAGGCGGGUCUCUGGACAGUUCCUGACACUGAGGCACGAAGGCCAGGGGAGCAAACGGG